rnacentral:rRNA from 1 species
AUUGAACGCUGGCGGCCGGCCUAACACAUGCAAGUCGAACGAGUGGCGGACGGGUGAGUAAUGUCUGGGAAACUGCCUGAUGGAGGGGGAUAACUACUGGAAACGGUAGCUAAUACCGCAUACCAUCAGAUGUGCCAAGAUGGGAUGAGCUAGUUGGUGGGGUAACGGCUCACCUAGGCGACGAUCCCUAGCUGGUCUGCGAGGAUGACCAGCCACACUGGAACUGAGACACGGUCCAGACUCCUACGGGAGGCAGCAGUGGGGAAUAUUGCACAAUGGGCGCAAGCCUGAUGCAGCCAGGCCGCGUGUAGGAAGAAGGCCUUCGGGUUGUAAAGUACUUUCAGCGGGGAGGCGUUACCCGCAGAAGAAGCACCGGCUAACUCCGUGCCAGCAGCCGCGGUAAUUC